CUUUACGGGUUUGUGGUGGAAAGCUUUUGCGGUGUGGGAUGGGCCCGCGGCCUAUCAGCUUGUUGGUGGGGUAAUGGCCUACCAAGGCGACGACGGGUAGCCGGCCUGAGAGGGUGUCCGGCCACACUGGGACUGAGAUACGGCCCAGACUCCUACGGGAGGCAGCAGUGGGGAAUAUUGCACAAUGGGCGCAAGCCUGAUGCGAGCGACGCCGCGUGAGGGAUGACGGCCUUCGGGUUGUAAACCUCUUUCAAUAGGGACGAAGCGCAAGUGACGGUACCUAUAGAAGAAGCACCGGCCAACUGCGUG
rnacentral:rRNA from 1 species